rnacentral:rRNA from 1 species
CGAGCGGACAGAUGGGAGCUUGCUCCCUGAUGUUAGCGGCGGACGGGUGAGUAACACGUGGGUAACCUGCCUGUAAGACUGGGAUAACUCCGGGAAACCGGGGCUAAUACCGGAUGGUUGUCUGAACCGCAUGGUUCAGACAUAAAAGGUGGCUUCGGCUACCACUUACAGAUGGACCCGCGGCGCAUUAGCUAGUUGGUGAGGUAACGGCUCACCAAGGCGACGAUGCGUAGCCGACCUGAGAGGGUGAUCGGCCACACUGGGACUGAGACACGGCCCAGACUCCUACGGGAGGCAGCAGUAGGGAAUCUUCCGCAAUGGACGAAAGUCUGACGGAGCAACGCCGCGUGAGUGAUGAAGGUUUUCGGAUCGUAAAGCUCUGUUGUUAGGGAAGAACAAGUGCCGUUCAAAUAGGGCGGCACCUUGACGGUACCUAACCAGAAAGCCACGGCUAACUACGUG